UGAUCGAAAGGUGUGAUUUAGAGAUC
rnacentral:piRNA from 1 species